rnacentral:rRNA from 1 species
CCCGUGUAUUCCCUNGGACGGGUCAACGUCAGUUUGAUCCGGUGGAAAAGGGCGGUGAGAAGGUAGGGCUCCGGCCGUGUUAUAGCUNGCCGUCGCACACGCUGGGUCAGACUGAGGAAUGCAGCUCGCCUUCAUGGCCGGGGUUCGCCCACGUACGAGCUUAGGAUVUUGACAUAAUGGCUU